rnacentral:rRNA from 1 species
AAUGAACGUUGGCGGCGUGGAUUAGGCAUGCAAGUCGUACGGUAAGCUUCGGCUUAUAGUGGCGAAAGGGAGAGUAACGCGUGGUUACAUGCCCUCGGGACCGGGAUAGCGGCGGGAAACUGCCGGUAAUACCGGAUAAUAUCUUUGGAUCAAAGGUGUGAUUCCGCCCGAGGAUUGGACCGCGUUCUAUUAGCUUGUUGGCGGGGUAAUGGCCCACCAAGGCGACGAUGGAUACCGGGUGUGAGAGCAUGGCCCGGCUCACUGGGACUGAGACACUGCCCAGACACCUACGGGUGGCUGCAGUCGAGAAUCUUCGGCAAUGGGGGCAACCCUGACCGAGCGACGCCGCGUGCGGGACGAAGGCCUUCGGGUUGUAAACCGCUGUCAGUUGGGAGGAAGUGCCGGGGGGUUCUCCCCUCGGUUUGACCGAUCUUCAGAGGAAGGACGGGCUAAGUUCGUGCCAGCCGCCGCAGUAACAC